rnacentral:rRNA from 1 species
UACGGAGGGGGCUAGCGUUGUUCGGAAUUACUGGGCGUAAAGCGCACGUAGGCGGCUUUGUAAGUUAGAGGUGAAAGCCCAGGGCUCAACCCUGGAAUUGCCUUUAAGACUGCAUCGCUUGAACAUCGGAGAGGUAAGUGGAAUUCCGAGUGUAGAGGUGAAAUUCGUAGAUAUUCGGAAGAACACCAGUGGCGAAGGCGGCUCACUGGCUCGAUACUGACGCUGAGGUGCGAAAGCGUGGGGAGCAAACAGG